rnacentral:rRNA from 1 species
GAUCAUGGCUCAGAUUGAACGCUGGCGGCAGGCCUAAUACAUGCAAGUCGAACGGUAACAUAGGAAAAGCUUGCUUUCCUGAUGACGAGUGGCGGACGGGUGAGUAAUAUUGGGAAGCUACCUGAUAGAGGGGGACAACAGUUGGAAACGACUGCUAAUACCGCAUACAGCCUGAGGGUGAAAGCAGCAAUGCGCUAUCAGAUGCGCCCAAAUGGGAUUAGCUAGUAGGUGAGGUAAAGGCUCACCUAGGCGACGAUCUCUAGCUGGUCUGAGAGGAUGAUCAGCCACAUUGGGACUGAGACACGGCCCAGACUCCUACGGGAGGCAGCAGUAGGGAAUAUUGCACAAUGGAGGAAACUCUGAAUGCAGCCAUGCCGCGUGUGUGAAGAAGGCCUUCGGGUUGUAAAGCACUUUCGGAGGGGAGGAGAAUGACGUUACCCUCAGAAGAAGCACCGGCUAACUCCGUGCCAGCCGCCGC